UCCGAGUUGACCCCGGCAGUCUCCUGCGAGUCCCCGCCAUUACGCGCUGGCAACACAGGACAAGGGUUGCGCUCGUUGCGGGACUUAACCCAACAUCUCACGACACGAGCUGACGACAGCCAUGCACCACCUGUAUACCGACCUUGCGGGGGCUACAUCUCUGUAGCUUUCCGGCAUAUGUCAAACCCAGGUAAGGUUCUUCGCGUUGCAUCGAAUUAAUCCGCAUGCUCCGCCGCUUGUGCGGGCCCCCGUCAAUUUCUUUGAGUUUUAAUCUUGCGACCGUACUCCCCAGGCGGGAAGCUUAAAGCGUUAGCUGCGCCACCGAACAGCAAGCUGUCCGACGGCUAGCUUCCAUCGUUUACGGCGUGGACUAC
rnacentral:misc_RNA from 1 species